CCCUUCGUCUUCGCACGUGUAUCGCUAUGGCUCCGUCCAAGUGCGACCACCAUGCCGGCGCUGCAACACAGCCUCGUUGUUGACUUGAUUGCUGCCCACGCUGCGACUCGACGGUGCUGCCGGUGUUGCUAUGCGACGCUCGUUGACGCUGGUGCUUCGACGCGGCGUUCGCCGGCGCUGCAACGCAGCACACGGGAGGAGAGGUUGAGCUGCUCGCGCGGCUCUGUUGCAACGCAGCACGAAGGCCGGAGUCGGGCGCCGCUCGCCGCCGGUGAUGCAACGCAGCACACAAGGAGGAGGCUCGGCUGCUCGCGUCGAUGUUGCCCUGGAAGCUUUUGUCGCGCCGCGGGAGCUGCAAUGGAGCGCCGCCCGGGCUGCGAUGGAGCCGCCGCGGAGCUCCAUUGAAGCUUCGCCGGAGUUGAUGAAGCGCCGCCCGUGCUGCGAUGGAGUCGCCGCGGAGCUCCAUUGAAGCUUCGCCGGAGUUGAUGAAGCACUGCCGGAGCUAAAACGAAGAGAAGCCGGAGCUACAAUGAAGCGCAGCGGGGCGUCGUUGAAGCUUCGCCAGAGUCAAUGAUGCACCGCCGGAGUUGCAAUGAAGCGUCGCCGAAGCUGCAAUGAAGCGCAGCGGGGGGUCGUUGAAGCUUCGCCGGAGUCGAUGAAGCACCGCCGGAGUUGCAACGAAGCAUUGCCGGAGCUGCAAUGAAGCGCAGUGGGGGGUCGUCGAAGCUUCGCCGGAGUCGAUGAAGCACCACCGGAGCUGCAACGAAGGGUCAUCGGAGCUGCAAUGAAGCAUUGAGGGGUCGUUGAAGCUCCACCGGAGAUGCAAUGGAGCGUCGCCCUCGCCGGUGAUGCAAUGGAGCGCCGCCGGACGCCGAAGGUGCUGCCACGGGAGCUGCGAGCGGUGAACGGGUGUUGCACUGGAGAGACGAGGAUUCAAUUUUCUAUUGGGCUGUGCACGUGGCCUAGCUGGCACAACGGACGGCUGCGCAAAGCCUCAUCUAACGGCUCACGAGGAGGUUUAAAAUUGGCUAGCGUUAGCCGGAUGAUUUGUAGCAGCGCCCAUGUUAAUUUGCCAGAUAACUCUCUCCCAAUUAAACCCAUUAACAGUGGCACAAAGGGCGCACUCUGGGGUCAUCCACGUGGCAAACCGUGAAGGGCAGGAAAAACAAAGACGUUGUCCAGUUGGAUUUGGAGGGUUGGCUUCCUUGCUGCCUAAUCACUGGUCGUUUCCUUCGUCCAGAAGGAAGAGGUCGUCAGGUAUGCCCGCCCGGCCGCCCCGCUCCAACCCACUUCGCUUCCCCACGCACGUCACCUCCUUUCUCUCCUCUUAAACCCACUCGUGGUGGGGUGGGCGUCGCUGCCGCUCCCUCUCUUCCUGAGCCUCCUGCCCCCCUCCCUCUCCUGUGCUCUCUCUUUCCGUCGCUGUCGGGUCCGUGCCCCUGCCGCCACCGCGUGCGCGUGGAUGCCGGUGACGAGGAUCAUUGGGAGGCUGCCGCCGCCAUGAAGUCUCACAGGAUCCAGCUGUGCUCGUCGUCUCCAUGGAGGUCAAAGGAGGAGGAAGGGGAGGCGCUUCUCCGGCCAGAUCCGUGACCCCCACGUCGCCAUCGACGUCCACCCUCCUUGACAUGAUCGAUCGAGCAGACGUCGCUGAGCUCCACGGCUUCCUCGUCUCCCUCUCGCCAGAUGGUAUCAAGUUCAUCUUCAUCCUACAGAUGGAUCCAACAAGUUCACGUGAGUGAUGCCCCUGUUCUUCUCUUGGGUGGUGUUCUUGCUCUGCUUUUGGGCAUUCUUGUUUCUAAUUUGGUGUUGGUGCAGCAGCUCCACACACAUAAGAGCUAGGUGCAUACUCUUAGAGCUCUUCUUUUGAAUCUAUUCAUUCUCGAAAAUUGCUUAA